AUGGAUUGAGAGCUUGCUCUCAAGAAGUUAGCGGCGGACGGGUGAGUAACACGUGGGUAACCUGCCCAUAAGACUGGGAUAACUCCGGGAAACCGGGGCUAAUACCGGAUAACAUUUUGAACUGCAUGGUUCGAAAUUGAAAGGCGGCUUCGGCUGUCACUUAUGGAUGGACCCGCGUCGCAUUAGCUAGUUGGUGAGGUAACGGCUCACCAAGGCAACGAUGCGUAGCCGACCUGAGAGGGUGAUCGGCCACACUGGGACUGAGACACGGCCCAGACUCCUACGGGAGGCAGCAGUAGGGAAUCUUCCGCAAUGGACGAAAGUCUGACGGAGCAACGCCGCGUGAGUGAUGAAGGCUUUCGGGUCGUAAAACUCUGUUGUUAGGGAAGAACAAGUGCUAGUUGAAUAAGCUGGCACCUUGACGGUACCUAACCAGAAAGCCACGGCUAACUACGUGCCAGCAGCCGCGGUAAUACGUAGGUGGCAAGCGUUAUCCGGAAUUAUUGGGCGUAAAGCGCGCGCAGGUGGUUUCUUAAGUCUGAUGUGAAAGCCCACGGCUCAACCGUGGAGGGUCAUUGGAAACUGGGAGACUUGAGUGCAGAAGAGGAAAGUGGAAUUCC
rnacentral:rRNA from 1 species